AUUGUCGAUAGACCCUUAAGGAAAGGACUGUCAUGGAUUCAGUCACAGGGCCGGCUAACCCACAACCAGACUCAUUUUGUUGACUGCCUGGAUAUCAAAACCAAAGGCUGAGUAAAUUCAGAGCCCCGUCACACCUAAGAUGACCGGGGAGACCCAAACUGCAAAAGAGGCAUCAUGCAUGAUUAGAACUUGAAAAUUAGAAUUUCAACAUCUGGAUGACUGCUAGUUGGAGAAAAAUAUUCUACUUCCAGACUUUAUGAAUACUUUGAUCCUUGUUGAGGAUAACACUGGUACUGAGCUGCACAGACUGAAUCUGGAGGGCC